UACGUAGGGGGCAAGCGUUGUCCGGAAUCAUUGGGCGUAAAGAGCGUGUAGGCGGCCCGGUAAGUCCGCUGUGAAAGUCGGGGGCUCAACCCUCGAAUGCCGGUGGAUACUGUCGGGCUAGAGUGCGGAAGAGGCGAGUGGAAUUCCUGGUGUAGCGGUGAAAUGCGCAGAUAUCAGGAGGAACAUCAGUUGCGAAGGCGGCUCUCUGGACCAGCACUGACACUGAGGCACGAAAGCGUGGGGAGCAAACAGG
rnacentral:rRNA from 1 species